rnacentral:rRNA from 1 species
AUUGAACGCUGGCGGCAGGCCUAACACAUGCAAGUCGAGCGGAUGACGGGAGCUUGCUCCUUGAUUCAGCGGCGGACGGGUGAGUAAUGCCUAGGAAUCUGCCUGGUAGUGGGGGGCAACGUUUCGAAAGGAACGCUAAUACCGCAUACGUCCUACGGGAGAAAGCAGGGGACCUUCGGGCCUUGCGCUAUCAGAUGAGCCUAGGUCGGAUUAGCUAGUUGGUGGGGUAAUGGCUCACCAAGGCGACGAUCCGUAACUGGUCUGAGAGGAUGAUCAGUCACGCUGGAACUGAGACACGGUCCAGACUCCUACGGGAGGCAGCAGUGGGGAAUAUUGGACAAUGGGCGAAAGCCUGAUCCAGCCAUGCCGCGUGUGUGAAGAAGGUCUUCGGAUUGUAAAGCACUUUAAGUUGGGAGGAAGGGCAGUAAGUUAAUACCUUGCUGUUUUGACGUUACCGACAGAAUAAGCACCGGCUAACUCUGUGCCAGCAGCCGCGGUAAUACAGAGGGUGCAAGCGUUAAUCGGAAUUACUGGGCGUAAAGCGCGCGUAGGUGGUUUGUUAAGUUGGAUGUGAAAGCCCCGGGCUCAACCUGGGGACUGCAUCCAAAACUGGCAAGCUAGAGUACGGUAGAGGGUGGUGGAAUUUCCUGUGUAGCGGUGAAAUGCGUAGAUAUAGGAAGGAACACCAGUGGCGAAGGCGACCACCUGGACUGAUACUGACACUGAGGUGCGAAAGCGUGGGGAGCAAA